AGACCCGAAACCCGGUGAUCUAGCCAUGGGCAGGUUGAAGGUUGGGUAACACUAACUGGAGGACCGAACCGACUAAUGUUGAAAAAUUAGCGGAUGACCUGUGGCUGGGGGUGAAAGGCCAAUCAAACCGGGAGAUAGCUGGUUCUCCCCGAAAGCUAUUUAGGUAGCGCCUCGUGAAUUCAUCUCCGGGGGUAGAGCACUGUUUCGGCUAGGGGGCCAUCCCGGCUUACCAACCCGAUGCAAACUGCGAAUACCGGAGAAUGUUAUCACGGGAGACACACGGCGGGUGCUAACGUCCGUCGUGAAGAGGGAAACAACCCAGACCGCCAGCUAAGGUCCCAAAGUCAUGGUUAAGUGGGAAACGAUGUGGGAAGGCCCAGACAGCCAGGAUGUUGGCUUAGAAGCAGCCAUCAUUUAAAGAAAGCGUAAUAGCUCACUGGUCGAGUCGGCCUGCGCGGAAGAUGUAACGGGGCUAAACCAUGCACCGAAGCUGCGGCAGCGAACGUAUCACCCAAGACAACUUUACGGAGUUGACGAUUGACGGAGCGAAGCGACGUCAAAGCGUUCAUUAAAGUCGAGUUGGCUUAGGGAUACGUUCGUUGGGUAGGGGAGCGUUCUGUAAGCCUGUGAAGGUGUGUCGUGAGGCAUGCUGGAGGUAUCAGAAGUGCGAAUGCUGACAUAAGUAACGAUAAAGCGGGUGAAAAGCCCGCUCGCCGGAAGACCAAGGGUUCCUGUCCAACGUUAAUCGGGGCAGGGUGAGUCGACCCCUAAGGCGAGGCCGAAAGGCGUAGUCGA
rnacentral:rRNA from 4 species